UACGUAGGCAGCGAGCGUUGUUCGGAGUUACUGGGCGUAAAGGGUGUGUAGGCGGUUGUUUAAGUUUGGUGUGAAAUCUCCCGGCUCAACUGGGAGGGUGCGCCGAAUACUGAAUGACUAGAGUGCGGGAGAGGAAAGUGGAAUUCCUGGUGUAGCGGUGAAAUGCGUAGAUAUCAGGAGGAACACCGGUGGAGUAGACGGCUUUCUGGACCGAUAUUGACGCUGAGGAGCGAAAGCCAGGGGAGCAAACGGG
rnacentral:rRNA from 1 species